rnacentral:rRNA from 1 species
CAAUAGCGUAUAUUAAAGUUGUUGCAGUUAAAAAGCUCGUAGUUGAAUUUUUGCUUGCCGCCGAUGUCGGAACUUCCGUACGUUCGGCGGCGUGCAUCCUUGGGUGGAACCUGUGUGGCAUUAGGUUGUCGUGCAGGGGAUGCUCAUCGUUUACUGUGAAAAAAUUAGAGUGUUCAAAGCAGGCUUACGCCGUUGAAUAUAUUAGCAUGGAAUAAUAAGAUAGGACCUUGGUACUAUUUUGUUGGUUUGCGCACCGAGGUAAUGAUUAACAGGGACAGUUGGGGUUAGGGUUAGGGUUAGGGGUAUUCGUAUUCCAUUGUCAGAGGUGAAAUUCUUGGAUUUCUGGAAGACGAACUACUGCGAAAGCAUUUACCAAGGAUGUUUUCAUUA